rnacentral:rRNA from 1 species
AUUGAACGCUGGCGGCAGGCCUAACACAUGCACGUCGCGCGGAGCGGCGGACGGGUGAGUAAUGCCUAGGAAUCUGCCUGGUAGUGGGGGAUAACGUCCGGCAACGGGCGCUAAUACCGCAUACUCUCAUAUGAUCCUAGGUGGGAGUAGCUCGUUGGUGGGGUAAAGGCCUACCAAGGCGACGAUCCGUAACUGUUCUGAGAGGAUGAUCAGUCACACUGGACCUGAGACACGGACCAGACUCCUACGGGAGGCAGCAGUGGGGAAUAUUGGACAAUGGGCGAAAGCCUGAGCCAGCCAUGCCGAGUGUGGGAAGAAGGUCUUCGGAUUGUAAGGCACUUUAAGUUGGGAGGCGUUACCAACAGAAUAAGCACCGGCGAACUUCGUGCCAGCCGCCGCGGUAAUAC